rnacentral:rRNA from 1 species
AACGAACGCUGGCGGCGUGCCUAACACAUGCAAGUCGAACGAGAAAGGGGCUUCGGCUCCGAGUAAAGUGGCGCAUGGGUGAGUAACACGUGGGUAACCUGCCUCUAAGAUUGGGAUAACUCGUCGAAAGAUGAGCUAAUACCGAAUAAGACCACAGUUUCUGCGGGGAUAGAGGUCAAAGGUAGCCUCUGCUUGCAAGCUAUCACUUAGAGAUGGGCCCGCGGCGCAUUAGCUAGUUGGUGGGGCAAGGGGCUACCAAGGCGACGAUGCGUUGCCGACCUGAGAGGGUGAUCGGCCACACUGGGACUGAGACACGGCCCAGACUCCUGCGGGAGGCAGCAGUAGGGAAUCAUCCGCAAUGGGCGAAAGCCUGACGGUGCAACGCCGCGUGAGUGAGGAAGGUUUUCGGAUCGUAAAGCUCUGUUGUGAGGGAAGAACAGCUUCCGGAGGAAAUGCCGGAGGUUUGCCGGUACCUCACCAGAAAGCCCCGGCUAACUACGUGCCAGCCGCCGCAGUAACAC